GGAGUUAGCCGGUGCUUCUUCUGUGAGUGAUGUCCUUCCUGCCGGUUAUUGACCCGCAGGCCUUCUUCCUCACUGAAAGUGCUUUACAACCCGAAGGCCUUCUUCACACACGCGGCAUGGCUGGAUCAGGGUUGCCCCCAUUGUCCAAUAUUCCCCACUGCUGACUCCCGUAGGAGUCUGGGCCGUGUCUCAGUCCCAGUGUGGCUGAUCAUCCUCUCAGACCAGCUACGGAUCGUCGCCUUGGUGAGCCGUUACCUCACCAACCAGCUAAUCCGACAUAGGCUCAUCCGAUAGCGCGAGGCCCGAAGGUCCCCCGCUUUCCCCCGUAGGGCGUAUGCGGUAUUAGCCUGGGUUUCCCCAGGUUAUCCCCCACUACCGGGCAGAUUCCUAUGCAUUACUCACCCGUCCGCCGCUCGCCACCAGGGAGCAAGCUCCCCGUGCUGCCGCUCGACUUGCAUGUGUUAGGCCUGCCGCCAGCGUUCAAUCUGAGCCAGAAUCGAACCCUGA
rnacentral:rRNA from 1 species